rnacentral:rRNA from 1 species
UACGUAGGGUGCGAGCGUUAAUCGGAAUUACUGGGCGUAAAGCGUGCGCAGGCGGUUCGUUGUAUCGGCGGUGAAAGCCCCGGGCUUAACCUGGGAAUGGCCGUCGAAACUGGCGAACUGGAGUGUGGCAGAGGGGGGUGGAAUUCCGCGUGUAGCAGUGAAAUGCGUAGAGAUGCGGAGGAACACCGAUGGCGAAGGCAGCCCCCUGGGCUGACACUGACGCUCAGGCACGAAAGCGUGGGGAGCAAACAGG